ncrna:unclassified sequences IS605-orfB-I RNA
GUCCUAUACAGAUGUAUUCAACGCAAGAUAGUUGGGCAUCUCCCUUUAGGGCUAAGUUUAUCAGAAGCUCUGGCAACAAUUUUCAUUGUGUGGCUUACAGUCGAAAUGGAAUGAGUCAGAGUGGAAUAGGUUAGCCGUAAGACCUUGAGUUGGAAAACUCUAAAAUUGAGCUAGAGAUAUGGAUUUCAGAAAUUUUGUAUUUUCUAGUUACGGUCUG